rnacentral:rRNA from 1 species
AUCCGGUUCACUUUAACACUGAGGCGUGACGACGAGGCACUACGGUGCUGAAGCAACAAAUGCCCUGCUUCCAGGAAAAGCCUCUAAGCAUCAGGUAACACGAAAUCGUACCCCAAACCGACACAGGUGGUCAGGUAGAGAAUACCAAGGCGCUUGAGAGAACUCGGGUGAAGGAACUAGGCAAAAUGGUGCCGUAACUUCGGGAGAAGGCACGCUGACACGUAGGUGAAGUGAUUUACUCAUGGAGCUGAAGUCAGUCGAAGAUACCAGCUGGCUGCAACUGUUUAUUAAAAACACAGCACUGUGCAAACACGAAAGUGGACGUAUACGGUGUGACGCCUGCCCGGUGCCGGAA